rnacentral:lncRNA from 1 species
ACAAGGGAAGGCCUUUCGCACAGUCCCAAGGCCAGGAAGACGGAGGACGAGAACCCAGGAGCCCCCACGUCACCCCUGGGCUGUGCCCCUGCCCUCCAAGGCAUCAGUGACUUGAACAGCCUAGGUAGGGACAAGAAAGGACCUGCCCGUGUCACUCUGGAAGCCAGCCCACCGCAGGCCAGUUCUUACAGCCAGUCCAAGGUGCUUGGCAACGUGGACCUUCUCAAGAAGAAAUUCUGCUUGAAUGGACCAUCUCCAAGGUCCACCUGCAGCGGGGCGGGUCCCCGGGAACCAACAAGGAACAGGCUUGCUGUGGACCAGCACUGCUCGAUGGGUUCAAGGCGUCCUUGUCUGCUAAACAGGAAGGCAUGUGUGAUUCUGGCCUCCAGGUGGCUGAGUCCCAGCUAAGAGCCGAGGCAGCCCUGGGCUGUACAGAACCGACAGCAGGGGGUCCUCUGCUUCCUGAAAUGCACAUCUGCCCCAUAGCCAGCCUCCCGCCUUAGGAAAAGCAGCCGGGCUUGUCCCCCAAGCCCACGCAGGCUGUGUCUGUUACUUGCAUCUGGGAUGCCGUGGGGAGUGUGGUACCCAAAGGGUAAGGAGUGUCACCUCGCCUUGGCCAUGUGUGACUCUGGAACUUAAGGACUUCUGUGUCAGAAGAAAGGCACCCCUCUUUGGAACAUUUGCACCUGCAGAACCAGACCCGGGCCCCAGGAUCACGGAAUCCACCGGGGUCAGUAUGAAAUGACCACAGACCUUGCGACCACCAUGGGCCAGCUCCAAUAUGACAAGGCCAUCUGCUGAUGGGCCACAGGCGUUGCCUGCAGAAGGACGCCCAAGGCAACUUGGGUGGAGACAUGGCCAGCUGUGUGACAUUAUAGGGUUUCCAGACCUGGGACCAGGAAGCAGCCACAAGGCUUCCUUCCCUCCAACCAAAGUUCUCAGGGUGCAAAAGGCAGCCUCGCCAACCGGCCUGGCCAAUCCCAUGCUGAGCCCAGCCCUGUGCCUGAUCCGUCAUCAAGGGCAACCCAGCUGGUGUUUCAGGAAGAACCCAGCCUUCAAAGUUGACUUCAAAUUGCUAUGAAUCACCCUAUCUGAUGCAAAUGUGGGCUUGGGUAGACUCGGAGAUAGCUGAUUGCCUCAGAUUAAUCCACAGUUGCCUCGGCAGGUAAUUUACUUCUGGGAGUUUCAGGGACUAAGAAGAACAAGGCAUUUGCAUAAAUAGACUAAACUCAGAGUCCAGGCAGCCAGCCGGUUCUCUGACUGGCAGCUCCUGGUGACAGAGGACUCCCAUGAUUCUGGACCCCACCCACCUAUCCAUAUCCCAUACGUGAAAAGCAUCCUUGAAGUCCGGCCAUGGUCCCCAGCCACUGCCCCUGAUAAGUGGGUGCUCCACCGCAAUGCCCCUCAGCAGGUGGUCUGUCUCUCCACAUUUCCGUGACUUUUGCUGCAACCAAAUUCUUUCUUGCCCUGGGUAGCGAUCCACCAUCAUGGCUCCAGUCACCCUCCAGGUCAACUGGCUUUGUCCUGGGAUGUUCCUUCAUGCGUUUGAAGUGUUCCCUGGCUUCUCUGUGCAGACCAAAGCCCUGGACUUCCUAAUACAGCAGGGUUCUGGAACGCUCCACCAUCUGGUCAGCCUCCUCCAGGCUUCCUUUCCUUACAGCCUUCCUCUGAGAAUGUGGCAGCCAUACCAGGGGUGGGCUCACCAGUAUCACCUCCCUUGUUUCAGCCACUGUACUCCUAUUAAUAUGACCUGGCCUUUUGGACAGCUCAACCGCAUGGUGUCUCGUAAUAAGAUUUAGAGUUAACUAAACACGCCCUUUGUAAAAUGGGCACUGUUUGGCCUCCUUUCUCCCAGCUGGUAGCUGUUCUGUUGAGGUUUGGAGCUAAAUACUACACUUAGUAUUUAUUUCUGUGUGUGUGUGUGUGUGUGUGUGUGUGUGUGUAUUUGUAUUUUUACGCCCACACCCUUGGCAUAUGGAGGCUCCCAGGCUAGGGGCCGAGUCAGAGCUGUAGCUGCCAGCCUACACCACAGCUCACAGCAACGCCAGAUCCUUAACCCACUGAGCGAGGCCAGGGAGCGAACCCUCAACGUCAUGGUUCCUCGUCAGAUUCGUUUCCACUGCACCACAACGGGAACUCCCUAUUCCUGUUAUAUAUUGUCGUUUUAAUUUGACCUGUCCUUCCGUCCCUGUCACUCACAGUAAUUUUCUGCCAUUUGGAAACCUGUUACAAACGCCUUCGGUGGCUUGACCCAGGUUAUUAUUUAAAAAGCAUUUUCUGUUAUGGAUGCGGUUAAUCAUUACAGUCAGCAGCUUGCUUUUCUCUACCUUUUUUCAAAAGGCAAUAUGCUAAUGGCUUUGCUAAAAUAUCUUAAAAUGUUAGCGCCGGAAGAGAUGCUAAGGACAUGUGCUUCAAUUCCUUCAUUUGACGGAGGAGGGAACUGAGGCAGAGGGGUGCCAGGGACCAUGGAGACCUCCGAUCUGUGGCAGAGCCAGGCGCUGUGACUCAAAUAUUCCAACCCAGGUAUCCUUUGGAUAUUUGUGCAGAAAAACAAAAAAAAAAAAGAUGAUGGGCAUAUGGCACCAUGUCUACUGGAGGAUUCCAAGAGCAGACAACAGAAUCUUGGGGAGGAGGAGCUUGGUGGCUUAAAAGCCACAGCUGCCCAUCAGCUGAUGAAUAAACACCACGUGCUCUGGCCUUUUCGAGGCAGGUUAUCCAGCAGCCCCGGAAAGAAAUGAGGCAUUGGCUCACAGCAACAUGGGUGGCUCUUGACAAUAUUCUGGUGCGUGAAAGAAGCCAAUCACAAGUAUUGUGUGAUUCCUCUAAUGCAAAACAUCCACAAUAGCCAAACCCACAGAGAGAGAAAGCAGUGCGUGCGUGCCAGGGCCUGCAGAUGGAGGGGGAGACCAGAGUGGCAGCUGAUGAAUGGUACAGGGUUUUUUUUGGAGUUUGGGGGGUGGGUGGGGUCAUGAAACUGCUGUCACAAUUAGUGGUGAUGACUGCAGGACUUCGUGAUUAUACUCAAAACUACGGAAUUGUAUAUUUUCGAGUGGUUUCAAUGGUGAAUUUUAUGGCAUGGAGAUUAUAUCUGAAUUUUUGGAAAAGAAGCCCCAGGGGGCCUUUGCACUUGUGGCCCCUGAAGCAGAAAGGAGGUACACACAAUGAGGUACCACCUCACCCCGGCCAGAAGGGCCAUCAUCAAAAAGUCUACAAACAGUACGUGCUGGGUGUGAAGAAAAAGAAACCUCAUUACACCGUUGGUGGGACUAUAAACUGGUGCAACCACUGCAGAAAACAGUAUGGAGAUUCCUCAGGAAACUAAAAAUAGAAUUACCAUUUGAUCCAGCAGUCCCACUCCUGGGCAUCUAUCCAGAGAAAGCCAUGGCUUAAAUAGACACAUGUACUCCAGUGUUCAUUGCAGCACUGUAUACAACAGCCAAGAGAGGGAAAUAAUCUAAAUGCCCAUCGACAGAGGAGUGGAUCAAGAAGAAGUGGUACAUAUAUACACAAUGGAAUAUUACUCAGCCAUUAAAAGGAAAGAAAUAACGGCAUUUGCAGCAACAUGGAUGGACCCAGAAAUUAUCAUGCUAAAUGAAGUCAGACAGUGGGACACCAACAUCAAAUGCUAUGACUUACAUGUGUGAUCUAAAAAAAGGACACAAUGAGCUUCUCUGCAGAACAGAUACUGACUCACAGACUUUGAAGAACCUGUGGUUUCCUGAUGAGACAGGUUGGGGACUGGGGGGAUGCACUGAGGGUUUGGGAUGGAAAUGUGAUAAAAUUGGGUUGUGAUGAUCGUUGUACACCUAUAAAUGUAAUAAAAUUCAUUGAGUAAU